rnacentral:rRNA from 1 species
GACGAACGCUGGCGGCAUGCCCAAUACAUGCAAGUCGAGCGAACAGAUGAAGUGCUUGCACUUCUGACGUUAGCGGCGAACGGGUGAGUAACACGUAAGGAAUCUACCUAUAAGCGGGGGAUAACAUUCGGAAACGGGUGCUAAUACCGCAUAAUAUCUUCUUCCGCAUGGAAGAAGAUUGAAAGACGGCUCUGCUGUCACUUAUAGAUGACCUUGCGGUGCAUUAGUUAGUUGGUGGGGUAACGGCCUACCAAGACGAUGAUGCAUAGCCGACCUGAGAGGGUGAUCGGCCACAUUGGAACUGAGACACGGCCCAAACUCCUACGGGAGGCAGCAGUAGGGAAUCUUCCGCAAUGGGCGAAAGCCUGACGGAGCAAUGCCGCGUGAGUGAAGAAGGCCUUCGGGUCGUAAAACUCUGUUAUAAGAGAAGAACAAAUUGUAGAGUAACUGCUACAGUCUUGACGGUAUCUUAUCAGAAAGCCACGGCUAACUACGUGCCAGCAGCCGCCGUAA